rnacentral:rRNA from 1 species
CUUUCAUGGAGAGUUUGAUCUUGGCUCAGGACGAACGCUGGCGGCGUGCCUAAUACAUGCAAGUCGAGCGCAGGAAGCUAGAUGACCCCUUCGGGGUGAUUCUAGUGGAAUGAGCGGCGGACGGGUGAGUAACACGUGGGCAACCUGCCUGUAAGACUGGGAUAACUCCGGGAAACCGGGGCUAAUACCGGAUAGUAUUUUCUUUCUCCUGAUUGAAAAUGGAAAGACGGUUUCGGCUGUCACUUACAGAU